CCUACGGGGGGCAGCAGUGGGGAAUAUUGGACAAUGGGGGCAACCCUGAUCCAGCCAUGCCGCGUGUGUGAAGAAGGCCCUCGGGUUGUAAAGCACUUUCAGUGAGGAAGAACGCCUGGUGGUUAAUACCCAUCAGGAAAGACAUCACUCACAGAAGAAGCACCGGCUAACUCCGUGCCAGCAGCCGCGGUAAUACGGAGGGUGCGAGCGUUAAUCGGAAUUACUGGGCGUAAAGCGCGCGUAGGUGGCUUGAUAAGCCGGUUGUGAAAGCCCCGGGCUCAACCUGGGAACGGCAUCCGGAACUGUCGAGCUAGAGUGCAGGAGAGGAAGGUAGAAUUCCCGGUGUAGCGGUGAAAUGCGUAGAGAUCGGGAGGAAUACCAGUGGCGAAGGCGGUCUUCUGGACUGACACUGACACUGAGGUGCGAAAGCGUGGGUAGCAAACAGGAUUAGAUACCCUAGUAGUC
rnacentral:rRNA from 1 species